GAUGGACGCUGGCGGCGUGCUUAACACAUGCAAGUCGAACGAUGAAGCCCAGCUUGCUGGGCGGAUUAGUGGCGAACGGGUGAGUAACACGUGAGUAACCUGCCCUUGACUCUGGGAUAAGCCCGGGAAACUGGGUCUAAUACCGGAUAGGAGCGCCUGUCGCAUGACGGGUGCUGGAAAGAUCUUUCGGUCAUGGAUGGACUCGCGGCCUAUCAGCUUGUUGGUGAGGUAACGGCUCACCAAGGCGACGACGGGUAGCCGGCCUGAGAGGGUGACCGGCCACACUGGGACUGAGACACGGCCCAGACCCCUACGGGAGGCAGCAGUGGGGAAUAUUGCACAAUGGGCGAAAGCCUGAUGCAGCGACGCCGCGUGAGGGAUGACGGCCUUCGGGUUGUAAACCUCUUUCAGCAGGGAAGAAGCGAAAGUGACGGUACCUGCAGAAGAAGCACCGGCUAACUACGU
rnacentral:rRNA from 1 species